UACGUAGGGGGCUAGCGUUGUCCGGAAUCAUUGGGCGUAAAGCGCGCGUAGGCGGCCCGGUAAGUCCGCUGUAAAAGUCCAGGGCUCAACCCUGGAAAGCCGGUGGAUACUGUCGGGCUAGAGUCCGGAAGAGGCGAGUGGAAUUCCUGGUGUAGCGGUGGAAUGCGCAGAUAUCUGAAAGAACACCAGUGGCGAAGGCGGUCAGCUGGUCCGUUACUGACACUAAAGCACGAAAGCGUGGGUAGCAAACAGG
rnacentral:rRNA from 1 species